AGUGGCGGACGGGUGAGUAACGCGUGAGAAUCUGCCUUGGGGUCGGGGACAACCACUGGAAACGGUGGCUAAUACCGGAUAAGCCGAUUGGUGAAAGAUUUAUUGCCCGAAGAGGAGCUCGCGUCUGAUUAGCUAGUUGGUGAGGUAAGAGCUCACCAAGGCAGCGAUCAGUAGCUGGUCUGAGAGGACGAUCAGCCGCACUGGGACUGAGACACGGCCCAGACUCCUACGGGAGGCAGCAGUGGGGAAUUUUCCGCAAUGGGCGAAAGCCUGACGGAGCAAGACCGCGUGAGGGAGGAAGGCUCUUGGGUUGUAAACCUCUUUUCUCAGGGAAGAAGCUCUGACGGUACCUGAGGAAUCAGCCUCGGCUAACUCCGUGCCAGCAGCCGCGGUAAUACGGAGGAGGCAAGCGUUAUCCGGAAUUAUUGGGCGUAAAGCGUCCGCAGGUGGCGAUUCAAGUCUGCUGUCAAAGCACGGGGCUUAACUCCGUAAAGGCAGUGGAAACUGAAUAGCUAGAGUGCCGUAGGGGUAGAGGGAAUUCCCGGUGUAGCGGUGAAAUGCGUAGAGAUCGGGAAGAACAUCGGUGGCGAAAGCGCUCUACUGGACGGCAACUGACACUCAGGGACGAAAGCUAGGGGAGCGAAUGGGAUUAGAUACCCC
rnacentral:rRNA from 1 species